UCUGCUGGCUACUGCUGACAACUGAUUAGGGAUCGCGGUGGUGGGGUCGCUGCCCUGGGAGAAGGGGCUGCGCUGAAGUGUGCCUUGAUUCCCGCUUCCUACCCUCCAAUGUCCUCUUCUCCUGGGUCAUCCGAAACCAGGACUUCAGCUUGGAGCGCUCGGUAGCAGCAAGGGACAAACACCCCCAGCCUUACCUCCCAGUCCAUCCUCCUUCUACCCCCACCUCUAAUCUACUGACCCUAGCCUCUACCUCAAAGUGCUUAAGGCUGGGAAGUGGAGAGACCUCAGAAGCGCAAGCAGUUAUAUGGUUCGCCCUCUGAUGAAGUGGGUAGCGCCUGUCUGAGCCUCGGAGUCCCUGAUUUCAAGUUCAACAGAACCAACUGAUACAGAUGCCUAUCAGUGGUCCUGGACAGAUGCCUCGAAGCGGCAGGAGUGCUGAGAGAAGGGUGGGAGAGACCAGACCUCAAGGAUGAGCCCCUCGUACUAUCCACCACUUCUUACCACCAGAUCCCGGAGGUCCUUCUGCAGGAGGCCGAGGGUCUGGUCCAGCUCAAAAAAGUGAUGUUUAGUGCCCACAGGCAGGUAGAAGACUUGUGCUCCUGAAGCCAUCUGGGCAGCUGCUUCCCUGGUGGUGUGGUGGGGCAUGGAAAUCAAGAAAAAUGAUCCAUUACUCUCUCUGGUUGUACCCACGUUACCUAAUCUUUUCCCAGAAUCCCCCAGGGUCAGUACAUGGUAAAGAAUAGAGAGCAUCCACAGA